UCUCCGCUGGUGAACCAGCGGAGGGAUCAUUACCGAGUUUACAACUCCCAAACCCAAUGUGAACCAUACCAAACUGUUGCCUCGGCGGGGUCACGCCCCGGGUGCGUCGCAGCCCCGGAACCAGGCGCCCGCCGGAGGGACCAACCAAACUCUUUCUGUAGUCCCCUCGCGGACGUUAUUUUUACAGCUCUGAGCAAAAAUUCAAAAUGAAUCAAAACUUUCAACAACGGAUCUCUUGGUUCUG
rnacentral:misc_RNA from 1 species